UGCAGUCGAACGCCCCGCAAGGGGAGUGGCAGACGGGUGAGUAACGCGUGGGAAUCUACCGUGCCCUGCGGAAUAGCUCUGGGAAACUGGAAUUAAUACCGCAUACGCCCUACGGGGGAAAGAUUUAUCGGGGUAUGAUGAGCCCGCGUUGGAUUAGCUAGUUGGUGGGGUAAUGGCCUACCAAGGCGACGAUCCAUAGCUGGUCUGAGAGGAUGAUCAGCCACAUUGGGACUGAGACACGGCCCAAACUCCUACGGGAGGCAGCAGUGGGGAAUAUUGGACAAUGGGCGCAAGCCUGAUCCAGCCAUGCCGCGUGAGUGAUGAAGGCCUUAGGGUUGUAAAGCUCUUUCACCGGAGAAGAUAAUGACGGUAUCCGGAGAAGAAGCCCCGGCUAACUUCGUGCCAGCAGCCGCGGUAAUACGAAGGGGGCUAGCGUUGUUCGGAAUUACUGGGCGUAAAGCGCACGUAGGCGGAUAUUUAAGUCAGGGGUGAAAUCCCAGAGCUCAACUCUGGAACUGCCUUUGAUACUGGGUAUCUUGAGUAUGGAAGA
rnacentral:rRNA from 2 species